rnacentral:rRNA from 1 species
GACGAACGCUGGCGGCGUGCCUAAUACAUGCCAGUCGAGCGGACGGAUGGGAGCUUGCUCCCAGACCGUCAGCGGCGGACGGGUGAGUAACACGUGGGCAACCUGCCUGUAAGACUGGGAUAACUCCGGGAGACCGGGGCUCAUACCGGCUAACUCUUUCCUUCGCAUGAGGGCAAGCUGAAAGAUGACAUCUCGCUAUCACUUACAGCUGGGCCCGCGGCGCAUUAGCUAGUUGGUGGGGUAAAGGCUCACCAAGGCGACGAUGCGUAGCCGACCUGAGAGGAUGAUCGGCCACACUGGGACUGAGACACGGCCCAGACUCCUACGGGAGGCAGCAGUAGGGAAUCUUCCGCAAUGGGCGAAAGUCUGACGGAGCAACGCCGCGUGAGUGAUGAAGGUUUUCGGAUCGUAAAACUCUGUUGUCAGGGAAGAACAGGUACCGGUGAAACUGCCGGUACCUUGACGGUACCUGACCAGAAAGCCACGGCUAACUACGUG